AUGCUCGUCGUCCCCCUUUCUCCGAGCUCACCCCUCUCCUUCCUCCCUGUCCCGAACCCCCGCCCUUUUGUCGUCUCCCCUCUUCGCCGCUACUGCCUCCACAAACACCACAAGCGCCGGCAAUGCCGCGGUGGCAGUGGCCUACCACUCCACCUCCUCCACGCCGUCGCCAGGAGGCGAACGGGCAUCGUGAUCGACGUCGACGAGGUGAAUGAUAUCGGCGACCGUGACCUCCCCGUGGACGUGUCAUUCACUCGGAGGCUCCCGCCGGCGAUCACCCUCGUUGACGGCAUUGCCGCACUGCGGCGGGCCGCCGAGGAGGUGAAGGCCAGCCCGCCUGCCGCCGGGAGCGGCGUGAUCCGGUUCGAGGUACUUGUUCCACCCAGUACGAAGGCACUCAAAUGGUUAUGCUCUCAGUUUAGGAGAUCAUCAUUGUUCCCUCAGUUCUAUCUAUCAAGGAAGCUAAGCUCCAAUCCGUCAGUUCAACUUGAAAUAUCUGGUGUUGGUUCUGCACUUUACUUGCAUGGUUCCUCUUCUCAAGUAAAAGAUGGAUAUGAUAUGAUAUCAAGAUACAUUUCAUUUGAUUCAGAUUUGAUGGGAGCUUAUGGAGCAGUUGGCAUGAAGUAUAACGAGGAAUUAUUGUCAAUAGAGGAGAAAGCUGGUUCAUUUUACUUCUUUAUUCCUCAGGUUGAGUUGACCGAAUUUGUUGGCUAUUCUGUGCUAUCAUCAACUAUGGUUUGGGAUCAUUUUGUAUCUCAUACAUUUGAGGAUUCGGUUUGUUUGUUUGAAUCUUGUUUCAAUCAGGUAUGUGGUAGCUAUGAUUCUGCAGCUAGCAGCUGUUAUGAAGGCAUGAUGACGAAUUACAUUGGAGAAUCACAUUUGGUAGAGACUGUGAAUGCUCAGUUGGUAUACUUGGAUGGCGAAGUUCUUGUCAAAGUAGAUGCUGAAAUCAGCAUGCAAAAGGAGAAAUUUCUGAUGUCCGAGCAGUCAUUUAUUCGCUUUUCACCACACUUCUUAUUUUCUGCAAACAUGGACCUACGCUCAGAAAGCAACAAAACCGAAUCUUCUAUUAAGAGCUGCUCUAACAUUAAUUCGGCAUGGGCAUCCCUUAUAGUUGAAGAGUGUGUCAGGCUUGGUUUCACGUACUUUUGUAUAGCUCCAGGGUCAAGGUCAUCCCCACUUGCACUUUCUGCCACAGGCCACCCUUUGACAACUUGCAUAUCAUGUUAUGAUGAACGUUCACUUGGAUUUCAUGCUCUUGGCUAUGGGAGAGGUUCUAGAAAGCCUGCAAUAGUAAUUACAUCAUCAGGAACUGCUGUAUCAAAUCUUCUCCCUUCGGUGGUGGAGGCGAGUCAAGAUUUCGUACCAGUUAUCUUGCUCACAGCUGAUCGUCCUCCCGAGCUGCAUGAUACUGGAGCCAACCAAGCGAUUAAUCAGAUUUAUGCAAGAAUGGUUCUUACAACAAUUGAUUCAGCAGCCUACAAUGCAAUGCAAGCACCACAAGGUCCGGUGCAUAUAAACUGUGCUUUUAGGGAACCACUAGAUCACAGCAAUCAAAAUUGGAGUUUUGAUUGUUUGAGAGGAUUGGACAGGUGGUUUAGAAAUGAUGAACCAUAUACUAGAUACCUAGAAAUGAAAAUGGUCUCUGCAUUUUGUAAUUAUUCUUGUUCAGUAAUAGAGGUUCAAGAUAUCAUAAAGAAGGCAAAGCAAGGGCUUCUAUUAGUUGGAGCUAUUCAUAAAGAAGAUGACAUGUGGGCUGUGGCUUUACUAGCUAGACAACUUUCCUGGCCAGUUGCCGCUGACAUUCUGUCUGGACUGCGAAUGAGGAAAGUUCUAAAUUCAUUUCCAGGAUUUGAUAAGAGUAUUUUGUUUAUAGACCAAAUAGAUCAAAUUCUACUGUCGGACUCUGUCAAAAGCUGGAUAAAUCCAGAUGUUAUUGUGCAGAUUGGAAGCCGGAUUACUAGCAAACGCAUGGAAAUGUUUCUCGAGUCCUGCUUCCCAUCUUCAUACAUCUUGAUUGAUACACAUCCGUGCCGCCAUGAUCCUUCACAUGUUGUCACUCACAGAAUCCAGACUAGUGUAGCUGACUUUGCUGCUAGUUUAUGCCAAUGUAAUUUAGAAAGGAAGACAAGCAGAUGGAAGGAUAUUUUGAUGGUUCUAAAUUCAGCGGUUUCACAGGAAAUAAUGUUUCAUGUACAUGCGGAAUUCUCGCUUACAGAACCAUAUGUUGCACAUGUAAUUGGAGAGGCACUUUAUGGUGAUGCUGCCAUGUUUGUUGGGAAUAGCAUGGUCAUUCGAGACUUGAACAUGUUUGGGAAGGGCUGGCUUGACCAUACCACCAACGGAGAUAACAUGAUGAUGCAUAAUAUUCCAGAUUUUAUUGGUGCAACAGUGUCUGGGAACCGAGGAGCAAGUGGUAUUGAUGGUUUGCUUAGCACAGCGAUCGGAUUCGCUGUUGGGUCAAACAAGCAUGUAUGCUGUGUGGUUGGUGAUGUAUCUUUUCUUCAUGAUACGAACGGAUUGUCACUUCUCAACCAAAGGGCCCAGAGGAAACCCAUGACAGUGAUUGUAAUCAACAACCAUGGUGGUGCAAUCUUCAGCCUUCUACCAGUUGCAAAAACAGCUUCGCCCCAAAUUUUGCAGAAAUACUUCUACACCUCACAUGACAUAUCGAUUUCUAAACUCUGUGAUGCACACAGAGUGAAGCAUUUUUUGGUUCAAACAAAAGCAGAACUUCAUGAUACAUUGGUGAAGACCCAUGCAGAACACCUUGAUUGUGUGGUGGAAGUAGAGAACCAGAUUGAUGAGAAUGCCAACUUUCAUAGAACUAUAAGUAUGUUCGUUGAUAAUACUGCAACCCACUAUCUGGAUUAUCUUCUCGGGGAUCCGUAUUCUAGCACUACGAGUGAUUUAGAUCGCAUGUACAAAACGAAAAUUCAUGCAAUAGAGUACAUGUUGUACAGAAUCCAGCUUUCUGCGCCUCGUACUUCAGGAAUUUCAGAUAGCAGUUGUUUCCAUGAAGGCUUCAUUCUGAAGCUACGUAUGGAUGACAACAUUGUAGGAUUUGGUGAGGUUGCACCAAUCGAAAUUCACCAGGAGGAUAUAAUAGAUGUUGAAGAGCAACUUAGGUUUCUGUUUCACAGAGUGAAAGAUUGUGAGCUAGAUGUUGUUCCUUUGUUGAGAGGGUCUUUCUCCAAUUGGAUAUGGACAAACAUUGGGAUUCCUCCUUCUUCUGUAUUUCCAAGUGUCAAGUGUGGCCUGGAGAUGGCCAUUCUUAAUUUGCUGGCGUCACAGCGGAAAUGUAGAUUAUCUGAAAUUCUCACUGGUUCCAACCCCUUACUAAGAGAUCAGAGUCUGGUGGAAUAUAAUCAGAACAGUUCUGCAGGCAUACAUAUCUGUGCACUCUUAGACUCCGACGGUACUCCGAUGGAGGUAGCACUUGCUGUGACUAAACUUGUUGAUGAAGGCUUUACCACAGUGAAACUGAAGGUUGGACGUCGUGCAAGUCCCGUUGAAGAUGCAGCUGUUAUUCAAAAAAUAAGAGAGGUUGUAGGAUAUAAGAUCAAUAUCCGUGCCGAUGCAAAUCGAAAAUGGACAUACAAGCAAGCAAUUGAAUUUGGAUCCAGAGUAAAAAGCCUUUGUUUGCAAUACAUUGAGGAACCAGUGAGCUCUGUACAUGAUCUCAUCAAGUUCUGUGAAAACAGUGGUUUGCCUGUUGCUUUGGACGAGAGUAUCGACAACCUUAAGGGGGAUCCAAUCCAAAAGCUUCAUCAAUUUGUACAUCCAGGGAUAGUUGCUGUUGUUAUAAAACCCAGUGUUGUUGGCGGCUUUGAGAAUGCAGCUCAUAUAGCAAAGUGGGCUCACAUGCAUGAUAAGAUGGCUAUCAUCAGUAGUGCGUACGAGAGUUCUGUAGGUUUGGCGACCUACAUACAGUUUGCAUAUUAUGUUGACAGGCAACAUGACCUAAUCUCCAGACUAAAGAGAUAUGAUUCAUGUGGAACUGUGGCUCAUGGGUUUGGAACAUAUCAAUGGUUAACAGAAGAUGUAUCAGAACAAAAGUUAAAAAUUCUUGUUCCCCCGCUUGGUGAUGGAAUGGGAGCUUCAGUGGAAAAUGCCCAUGGCUAUCUCCACCACUUAAAUAUAAAUGAUGAGAAGAUUGAAAAAACAUAUAGUGAAGAAAAACUAAACUCAUAUUCUAUCCAAGUCGAUGGGGAUCAUUUUUCUUAUGUAGUUAAGGUUCAAGAGGCUGGUGAUUGUACAAAUGAUAAGGUCGUUCUUUUUCUUCAUGGAUUUCUUGGCACAAGUGAGGACUGGACUCCCAUGAUGAAAGCUCUCUCUCCCAGUGCACGGGUCAUCGCCGUUGAUCUUCCUGGCCAUGGAGAGUCCCAAAUUCUGCAGCACGAUGAUGAAAAUUUCAAUCAAAUCUCUCUUACAAUUCAAUCAGUUGCAGACUUGUUGCUGAAGUUGAUAUGCAAUAUAACCGAUGGAGAGGUGGUUGUUGUUGGCUACUCAAUGGGUGCAAGGAUUGCACUCCAGAUGAUACUAAAUGAAAAUCUAAAGAUUAGUGGAGCUGUUUUGAUAUCGGGGAGUCCUGGAUUGAGACAUGAAGCAAGUAGAAGACGACGUACUGCUAUUGAUAAAUCACGAGCUCAAUUCCUGUUGACUUAUGGACUGGAAUGUUUUAUCAAGACAUGGUACUCUGGAAAAAUGUGGACCAGUCUAAGAGAACACCCACAGUUUGAUUCCCUAGUGAGGACACGCAGAAAACACAGUAACAUCACGGAUCUAUCUAAGGUUCUGGCUGACUCGAGCAUAGGGAGACAAAAGUCCCUGUGGGAAGACCUGAAACACUUGGAGAAGCCUGUCCUCAUCAUUGCAGGUGAGAAGGACGUAAAAUUUAAAGAGAUAGCAGAGCGAAUGUGCAGCGAGACAAGAGAGUACGGUGAACGUGAAGCUGAUUGUCGUAGCAAUCAGGAGCUAUGUGAAAUGAUCGUUGUCCCGGAAAGUGGCCAUGCUGUGCAUGUUGAGAAUCCUCUCCCCUUAGUUAGAGCCCUGAGGAAGUUCUUGGUAAGGCUACACCAGCCUUAA
rnacentral:rRNA from 1 species